CAACUUAUGUGGCAAGGGAGAAAACUUGAUCCUGAAGGAGGUUUUCCCAGGGUGGGGCUCAUCCAUCACACUCCUGACCCCAUUGCUCACCCCUGCAAUUUUCCCAAAUGUGGGAAACUCGACUGCAUAAUUUGUGGUAAUUUGUUGAUAAUUUGUGGUAGG